GAUCAUUCCUCGUCUCACUAUUAUGUUUCUGUUUGUUUUUGUUACAGUAUUUCAAUGGGGUAAGAAAAGUGAGGAAAGUGUGGAAGGCAAGGAACAUGCACACAGCAAGGAAUCUAAAGAAAAGAAAAAGGAACAUGAUCAUAUUAAUCAUUUUUCAG